rnacentral:rRNA from 1 species
UUCCGGUUGAUCCUGCCAGACCUGACUGCUAUCGGAUUGAUACUAAGCCAUGUGAGUCAUUGUAGCAAUACAAGGCAGACGGCUCAGUAACACGUAGCCAAUCUAACCUAUGGACGGGGAUAACCUCGGGAAACUGAGGAUAAACCCCGAUAGAUCAUUAUGCCUGGAACGGUUUAUGGUCCAAACGAUUCGUCGCCAUAGGAUGAGACUGCGGCCUAUCAGCUUGUUGGUGAGGUAAUGGCCCACCAAGGCUAUUACAGGUACGGGCUCUGAGAGGAGAAGCCCGGAGAUGGGUACUGAGACACGGACCCAGGCCCUAUGGGGCGCAGCAGGCGAGAAACCUUUGCAAUGUGCGCAAGCACGACAAGGUUAAUCCGAGUGUUUCCUGCUAAAGGAAUCUUUUGCUAGUCCUAAAAACACUAGUGAAUAAGGGGUGGGCAAGUUCUGGUGUCAGCCGCCGCGGUAAAACCAGCACCUCAAGUUGUCAGGAGGAUUAUUGGGCCUAAAGCAUCCGUAGCCUGCUCUGUAAGUUUCCGGUUAAAUCCAUUUGCUUAACAAAUGGGCUGCCGAAAAUACUG